UACGAAGGGGGCUAGCGUUGUUCGGAAUUACUGGGCGUAAAGCGCACGUAGGCGGAUACUUAAGUUAGGGGUGAAAUCCCAGAGCUCAACUCUGGAACUGCCUUUAAUACUGGGUAUCUCGAGUCCGAGAGAGGUGAGUGGAAUUCCGAGUGUAGAGGUGAAAUUCGUAGAUAUUCGGAGGAACACCAGUGGCGAGGGCGGCUCACUGGCUCGGUACUGACGCUGAGGUGCGAAAGCGUGGGGAGCAAACAGG
rnacentral:rRNA from 1 species